rnacentral:rRNA from 1 species
GCGGAGCAAAAGAAACCAACAGGGAUUGCCCCAGUAACGGCGAGUGAAGCGGCAACAGCUCAAAUUUGAAAUCUGGCUCCUAGAGCCCGAGUUGUAAUUUGUAGAGGAUGCUUUUGAUGCGGUGCCUUCCGAGUUCCCUGGAACGGGACGCCAUAGAGGGUGAGAGCCCCGUCUGGUCGGAUGCCAAAUCUCUGUAAAGCUCCUUCGACGAGUCGAGUAGUUUGGGAAUGCUGCUCAAAAUGGGAGGUAUAUGUCUUCUAAAGCUAAAUAUUGGCCAGAGACCGAUAGCGCACAAGUAGAGUGAUCGAAAGAUGAAAAGCACUUUGAAAAGAGGGUUAAAUAGUACGUGAAAUUGUUGAAAGGGAAGCGCCUAUGACCAGACUUGGGCCCGGUGAAUCAUCCAGCGUUCUCGCUGGUGCACUUUGCCGGGCACAGGCCAGCAUCAGUUUGUCUUGGGGGAAAAAGGUUUCGGGAACGUGGCUCCCUCGGGAGUGUUAUAGCCCGUUGCAUAAUACCCUGAGACGGACUGAGGUUCGCGCAUCUGCAAGGAUGCUGGCGUAAUGGUCAUCAGCGACCCGUC